CUCCCACCAGGAGCACGCAAGCCAAUCAAAACGUGCUGCCUUUGGGCGAGAGGAGCCGGGCGAGGAGCGCCAUCUAGCGGCCCCCGCGAGUUCUGUUUGUGACGGAACUGCUGUGGAACCGGCCGUGAACCUGCUCCUCGCGGAAGGUCAGAGCCGGGAAGAAAUCCAAAGCUUUGGAAAUAAAACCCGAAGUGCCAAAGGACAGCGUGUGGGGCCCUAGACACGUGUGAAACAGAGAGACGAGAGUCAUCAUCAGCCAGCCAAAGACCCCUCUCCCUGAUGGCUCUGAGUCACCUCCUGUGUGGAACUGAGUGAUCCACAUGUGCAGGCAACAGAUGGCAACACCAGCAAGAGUGUCUGACAGCUAGAUGUGUGCGUGUAAUUAGCUGGAGUCCCUACAUGAUUCAAUAAAUUAGCCCUGAGCUAACAUCUGUGCCAAUCGUCCUCUAUUUUGUAUGUGGGACACCACCACAGCAUGGCCGACAAGUAGUUUAGGUCUCUGACCCAGAUCCAAACCAGCGAAUCUGGGUCACAGAAACAGAGUGUGCUAAAUUCAACCACUACACCAUGGGGCCAGCUCCAAGGCCUGCUAAACUUUAUAUAAGAAACUCUAUAAUGGAGGAAUCAAGCUGACACACCUCAGUCCAACGACCCAUCUGAGCGUCACUGACAGCAGGGGAGUCUGACGUGC
rnacentral:lncRNA from 1 species